rnacentral:lncRNA from 1 species
CUGAGUUAGAUUACGAAGAUAAAUCUGACUCUUGACUCUGAUGAGGUAGAUUUUAACUACGUUUAAGUAGUGCAACGUUUUUUUUCUUUUUUUUUGAUGAGUUGUGAGUAGCAUAGACUCACUUAAUUUGUUGAGAGCCAUGAUCUUGAUACUGAUUUCGGAAAUGUGAGGCAUGUUUUCUUUAUUUAGUUUUAGAUGGGUUCAAAUGAUGAUAAGUCAGAAGAAGAGGAGGAAACAACAGUAAAGGUAUUUUCAUAAAGAUUUGGCCCUUUGCACUGAGAGCUUACAAACUUUUUUGCUUUGGAUCA